CCAUAGUUGUGUGACCUAGUGGCUAUGGCUGGCGGUGGAAAAAAUAAGGAGGCACGGAAGCAGUAAGUGUUCCAAGUACAGGUCUGAAGCUCUGCACAAAUUCCACCUUGGAUGUUUUUGGAAUCUUGGAGCUUGGUAAGGUAAUGUGUAGUAAGCCUUUAAUCAUAUCUAGUUGACAAUAUAGAAAGAUUUCUAAAUGGAAAAUGCUCAA
rnacentral:lncRNA from 1 species